GACGAACGCUGGCGGCGUGCUUAACACAUGCAAGUCGAACGGAAAGGCCCUGCUUUUGUGGGGUGCUCGAGUGGCGAACGGGUGAGUAACACGUGAGUAACCUGCCCUUGACUUUGGGAUAACUUCAGGAAACUGGGGCUAAUAACGGAUAGGAGCUCCUGCUGCAGGGAGGGGGGUGGAAAGUUUCGGCGGGUGGGGGUGGACUCGCGGCUUAUGAGCUUGUUGGUGGGGUAGUGGCUUACCGUGGCUUUGCCGGGUAGCCGGCCUUGGAGGGUGACCGGCCACCUUGGGCCUGCGGUACGGCGCAGUCUGCAACGUUGGACAGUGGUGGGGAGUCUUGCACAAUGGGCGGGAGCCUGUGGCAGCAACCCCGCGUGCGGGAUGCCGGCCUGCUGGUUGUGAACCGCUUUCGCCUGUGACGAAGCGUGAGUGACGGUACUGGGUAAAGAAGCACCGGCUAACUACGUG
rnacentral:rRNA from 1 species